UCUUUUCGGAGGAAAAAUCACAACGC
rnacentral:rRNA from 1 species